rnacentral:rRNA from 1 species
AUGAAAAUGGCAGCGGCGACUGCCGGCGCCGGUGCGGGCGGGCUGGAGGUGGUGCUCUUCCCGUGGCUGGCGUUCGGCCACAUGAUCCCUUUUCUGGAGCUCUCCAAGCGCCUCGCCGCAAGAGGCCACGCUGUCGCCUUCGUGUCAACGCCGCGGAACCUCGCCAGGCUGCCGCCCGUGCCGGCGCACCUGUCUGCCCGCAUCCGCUUCGUGGCGCUGCCGCUGCCGGCAGUGGAGGGCUUGCCGGAGGGCGCCGAGGCCACGUCUGACCUGCCACCCAACAAGGUCGAGCUGCUCAAGAAGGCCAUGGACGGCCUCGCCGGCCCGCUCGUGUCGUUCCUCGCGGCCGCCGUCGCCGCCGGCAGGAGGCCAGACUGGAUCAUCCUCGACUUCUGCCAUCACUGGGUCCCGCCCAUCGCCGACCAGCACAAGGUGCCAUGCGCCGCGUUCCUGAUCUUCCAUGCCGCCUGUAUUGCCUUUCUUGGGCCGCGGUGGGCGAACGAUGCGUACCCGCGCACGAAGCCAGAGGACUUCACCGUGCCAUCCAAGUGGAUCCCCUUCCCGUCCACCACCGCCUUCCUCCACCACGAGGCCCGGCGGAUGCUCUCGGACAACUUUGGUGAGAACGCGUCAGGCAGGUCGGACACUGACCGUUUGUGGGAUGUAUUCGAGCGUUGCCGCCUCACCAUCCACCGGAGCUGCCGCGAGCUGGAGCCUCGCAUGUUCACCCUCCUCUCAGAUCUCUUGCGGAAGCCCGCCAUCCCCGCCGGGAUCCUGCUACCGGAGGCGGCUGACGACCGUGAUCAAGACCACGGGCAGAGCAGCUCUGGUGGCGCCGACAGUCACCAGGUCCUGAGUUGGCUCAACGACCAACCACCCAAGUCUGUCCUCUACGUCGCGCUGGGAAGCGAGGCGCCACUGACUCUAGAGAACAUCCAUGAACUCGCCCUCGGGCUGGAGCUCGCCGGGGUGCGCUUCCUUUGGGCGCUACGCAAGCCGACGGCACCAACAACGAGCACGAGCUGUUGCCGGCCGGCUUCGAGAAGCGGACGCGGGCGCGCGGUGUGGUCUGCACAGGGUGGGUGCCGCAGGUGA